GCGGACGGCGCUGAAGCCAGUCGAAGAUACCAGCUGGCUGCAACUGUUUAUUAAAAACACAGCACUGUGCAAACACGAAAGUGGACGUAUACGGUGUGACGCCUGCCCGGUGCUGGAAGGUUAAUUGAUGGGGUUAGCGUAAGCGAAGCUCCUGAUCGAAGCCCCAGUAAACGGCGGCCGUAACUAUAACGGUCCUAAGGUAGCGAAAUUCCUUGUCGGGUAAGUUCCGACCUGCACGAAUGGCGUAAUGAUGGCCAGGCUGUCUCCACCCGAGACUCAGUGAAAUUGAACUCGCUGUGAAGAUGCAGUGUACCCGCGGCAAGACGGAAAGACCCCGUGAACCUUUACUAUAGCUUGACACUGAACAUUGAGCCUUGAUGUGUAGGAUAGGUGGGAGGCUUUGAAGUGUGGACGCCAGUCUGCAUGGAGCCAACCUUGAAAUACCACCCUUUAACGUUUGAUGUUCUAACCUAGGCCCAUAAACUGGGUCGGGGACCGUGUCUGGUGGGUAGUUUGACUGGGGCGGUCUCCUCCUAAAGAGUAACGGAGGAGCACGAAGGUUGGCUAAGCAUGGUCGGACAUCAUGCGGUUAGUGCAAAGGCAUAAGCCAGCUUGACUGCGAGAGUGACGGCUCGAGCAGGUACGAAAGUAGGUCUUAGUGAUCCGGUGGUUCUGAAUGGAAGGGCCAUCGCUCAACGGAUAAAAGGUACUCCGGGGAUAACAGGCUGAUACCGCCCAAGAGUUCAUAUCGACGGCGGUGUUUGGCACCUCGAUGUCGGCUCAUCACAUCCUGGGGCUGAAGUAGGUCCCAAGGGUAUGGCUGUUCGCCAUUUAAAGUGGUACGCGAGCUGGGUUUAGAACGUCGUGAGACAGUUCGGUCCCUAUCUGCCGUGGGCGUUGGAAGAUUGAGAGGGGUUGCUCCUAGUACGAGAGGACCGGAGUGAACGCACCACUGGUGUUCGGGUUGUCAUGCCAAUGGCAUUGCCCGGUAGCUAAGUGCGGAAGAGAUAACCGCUGAAAGCAUCUAAGCGGGAAACUUGCCUCGAGAUGAGUCUUCCCUGUCGCUUUAAGCGACCUAAAGGAACGUUUAAGACUAAGACGUUGAUAGGCUGGGUGUGUAAGCGUAGCGAUACGUUGAGCUAACCAGUACUAAUGAACCGUGAGGCUUAACCUG
rnacentral:rRNA from 1 species